CUUUCAUCUAUACUUACGAUUUCUUCAUAUGAAUCAGUAUUGAACUAAAUCAUGUAUCUUUAAAACAACAAAUCAAAUUUAAUUAUUACUCGUAUUUUCGAGGAAAACACAACCUCCCCCAGUUUCUAAAGUCCUCUAUUUCUUCUGCAAUCUAAUCUUAAAAUUUAUAUCGAAUUCCAUGGCUAGCAAGAAUAACAAGAAAGUUAUAACUUGCUAUGCCUACCAUUAUAAUUCCAAACUAAUUUAUUCUACAUGGGAGGUGAAACAAAAUAACACCAAGUUUGAUAGAAUAAUAUGAGAUAUCCAAAAUUAAGUCCGUUUGGUUGACGGAUGAGAUAAAUUUAUACCGUAAACCAAACAUAAUAUAAAUUUAAUACCACACUUUAUCCCACUUUAGAGUACCAAACGACCCGUUAGCACUUGAAGAGUCGAUGCUAUGGCCACUAAAAAGGCAACAUGUACUCAAGAACCUAAUUUUUCUACUCUUUUGUAUGGACCAAAUAUGAAGAUAAGUACUUUGUCCCGUUGAAAAUAAUGAAGAUUAAAAGAGGAAGAGCAGUGUGUUCCAAUAAACUAUUUAACAAUAGUGAGUGUCAGACUUGUUUGUUUCACCUAUUCUUAGUGGUCUGCACAUUUGCAAUACACCUGAGAACUUAUUUUAUUUGAAACGUUUUUCAGUUCAGGGAUAGCAAAGUAGCAACUAAAAAAUCAAUGAGUACACAUAUACCAAACGCGUAGAUAAACCAAAAGGUAUUUAUAAGACAAUUCGACCACCUUAUAAGCUUAGCCAAACACUCUCUAACAACAAAUACUACCCGUGUGCGUUACACCUAUGACCGAACUCCACAUCUAUCACAUCUAUUCUUUCUGUUUCCUUUUCACCCUUCUUCAUUCAUUUCCAACAAAUUCUGCUAAGAUCAUUAAACA
rnacentral:lncRNA from 1 species